UGAGGAUACGGGAAGUUUUCCUCAUUAUGCUCCUAUGCCCAGUUGGUCGGGUGUAUAUGACUUGCAGUGAGCUCAGGGACACAGAUUGGUUAGUUCAUCCAUGAUGCUGAGUCCUAUCUUGAAUGGUAUCUUGGCCGCCGCGUUUUAGAUGCUUAGGUCCGUGAUUGAAGUGUUAUUUGUAGUUUUUUCUUCUUUUCAGAAUUCAUAAUGUUUGCAACUAUAAAAAACAAUAUACUUUUAUACCUCUGUUUCUCUUUUCUUUGUUUUCAUGAGAAAGUAAUUGUCAUUGGCAGCACUAUAAAAAACAAUCUCUCUGCAUUAUUCUCUGCUUCAUACAUAAUUACAUGAUUUUAGGUUUAAUAUCUAGCUUUUUAGUUGUAGAUUACUUAUAUGGGUCUUUAACUGCAAUAUCAAAUUUCUUACUUUUUUCAUGUUUUUACUUUUGACUUGCUGAUAUCUAUUUUAGAAUGUGGAAUUAUAUCUAAUAUUUGUUUAUUUUCUGACUAUCUUAAUGCCUCACUGUCUGUAGAUUUUAAAUUUUGGUAAGAACCAUGAAAAUGAUUGAAAAGCAUGAUGUUGUUUUCGAAAUAUAUAUUAGCAUCCCCUUCUCACCCAACUGCCAAAAUUAGGUGGCUUGACUUGAGGUGUUUUCAGAUAUUGUAAUUGAAUGAACAAUUAGGUUACACUUUAACAAAAAUGUGUAAAAAGGGUUGAUAACCGCAUUUUUAAGAGAGAAGUACUAUUUUGUCUAACCCUUUUGAGUUCCCAUAUAUCUUCAUUGUUUCAUUUAUACAUCUGUUGGAGGAUUGGAGGGGAUUGGGAGGCAGAUGAGCGAGACUUCUGAUGGUUACACAGAAAUAAAUGGUCUCUCACAUCUUGAACCAGAUUAUUAUUGGUUUGGCAGUGCUUCUGUUUUCCACAAUGUAAGCCCAAGAUUAUGCGAUGGUGCUCAAUUUGGAUUUGUUGCAUAGCUAGAAGGAUUAUCUUGCAGUAAUUGUUGAAGACCGUUAUAUGCCAAGCACCGUAUAUUUUUUCAAGGAGCUUCCUCAGUUUGUUGUCAAGGCUGGUUCAAUUUUAAGUAAUAUUUAUGGUGUAGAUUGAGAAAACAAACUUGAGGUGCUAGGCCUACAGGCCAUAUAUUUGGCUACCUUAACUGCAGGGUAAAAUAUGUCUGGACUGCAUCUUGCUUUUGUUUCUUACGGAAAUAGGCAUCCUGCAUUUUUUUUCCUUUGAACAUUAGUGCUUGAAAGCUUAGCUGCUGAAACAAAAACAGAACACUUUUAAUGUUUUUUUGUUAACUGCUGAAACAGGCCGUUGGCCUACAGGACAUAUAUUUUGCCAUCUUAACUUCAGAGGCAAUAUAUGUGUGAAUUGUAUGUUGUUUCUGUUUCUUAUGGAA